AACGAACGCUGGCGGCAGGCUUAACACAUGCAAGUCGAGCGCCCCGCAAGGGGAGCGGCAGACGGGUGAGUAACGCGUGGGAACAUGUCCAAAGGUACGGAACAACUCCGGGAAACUGGAGCUAAUACCGUAUGUGCCCUUCGGGGAAAGAUUUAUCGCCUUUGGAUUGGCCCGCGUCUGAUUAGCUAGUUGGUGGGGUAACGGCCUACCAAGGCGACGAUCAGUAGCUGGUCUGAGAGGAUGAUCAGCCACACUGGGACUGAGACACGGCCCAGACUCCUACGGGAGGCAGCAGUGGGGAAUAUUGGACAAUGGGCGCAAGCCUGAUCCAGCCAUGCCGCGUGAGUGAUGAAGGCCUUAGGGUUGUAAAGCUCUUUCGCCAGGGACGAUAAUGACGGUACCUGGAUAAGAAGCCCCGGCUAACUUCGUGCCAGCCGCCGCAGUAAUAC
rnacentral:rRNA from 1 species